UGCCUUCGGGAACCGUGAGACAGGUGCUGCAUGGCUGUCGUCAGCUCGUGUUGUGAAAUGUUGGGUUAAGUCCCGCAACGAGCGCAACCCUUAUCCUUUGUUGCCAGCGGUCCGGCCGGGAACUCAAAGGAGACUGCCAGUGAUAAACUGGAGGAAGGUGGGGAUGACGUCAAGUCAUCAUGGCCCUUACGACCAGGGCUACACACGUGCUACAAUGGCGCAUACAAAGAGAAGCGACCUCGCGAGAGCAAGCGGACCUCAUAAAGUGCGUCGUAGUCCGGAUUGGAGUCUGCAACUCGACUCCAUGAAGUCGGAAUCGCUAGUAAUCGUGGAUCAGAAUGCCACGGUGAAUACGUUCCCGGGCCUUGUACACACCGCCCGUCACACCAUGGG
rnacentral:rRNA from 1 species